GAUGAACGCUAGCGGCAGGCUUAACACAUGCAAGUCGAGGGGUAUGCUGAUUUAUCGGCAGAGACCGGCGCACGGGUGCGUAACGCGUAUGCAAUCUACCUUUCACAGAAGGAUAGCCCAGAGAAAUUUGGAUUAAUACCUCAUAGUAUAGCAGUUUCGCAUGAAACCACUAUUAAAGUUCCAACGGUGAAAGAUGAGCAUGCGUCCCAUUAGCUAGAUGGUAAGGUAACGGCUUACCAUGGCAAUGAUGGGUAGGGGUCCUGAGAGGGAGAUCCCCCACACUGGUACUGAGACACGGACCAGACUCCUACGGGAGGCAGCAGUGAGGAAUAUUGGACAAUGGGCGCAAGCCU
rnacentral:rRNA from 1 species